UCCCUGGUAGUAUAUCGGUUAGUACACGCGCCUGUCAUCUUGGUGCAAUACCGCGCGAAAGCUGGGUUCGACUCCCAGCCAGGGAG